rnacentral:rRNA from 1 species
UACGGGGGGUGCGAGCGUUGUCCGGAAUCACUGGGCGUAAAGGGCGCGUAGGUGGUCUUCUAAGGGUGUGGUGAAAGCCCGGGGCUCAACCCCGGGUCGGCCGUGCCGACUGUAAGACUAGAGUGCUGUAGGGGCAGGCGGAAUUCCGGGUGUAGCGGUGGAAUGCGUAGAGAUCCGGAGGAAGACCGGUGGCGAAGGCGGCCUGCUGGGCAGUUACUGACACUGAGGCGCGACAGCGUGGGGAGCAAACAGG